rnacentral:sRNA from 2 species
AAUAACCGCUUCUAGGGUUCCGAUUGAGGUUUACCGUACUUCAGUGACUGGUCCAAGAGAAGCAAGCUAAAGUCUGUUAUGGAUCAGACUUUAGUUCCACGGCGGGAUAAAAGCCCGGGAGAU